rnacentral:sRNA from 1 species
UUCAAAUUCAAAGAUAUGAAGAGCAUUUUAACAAAUAAUCCUUUUCUUGAUUUUUUUUUCCUUCUUCAAAUUCAAAGAUAUGAAGAGCAUUUUAACAAAUA